CUUGUGGGAAGUGAAAGAGUACUUGGUAGGUGUCAGACUAUUUUAAAAAGCAGGUAUAGUGAUAUUUCAGGAGCAUAAAAAUACUAAGACAGCUUUCAUAAAUGACCUGUUUAAAUUUAUGCUUAACAGAAACUUAAUGAAAUACAUUACAACUGUCCAAUGUAGUUGUAGGAGAGAAUUUUCUGUGAAUUUUUUUAUUACCUUUUAAAAUGAUAGAUUAUAUGGCCAUGUGUUACAACUGUAUAACAUUCUAGUUUGGAGAAAAAAAUCACUACUUAAACCUAGUGAGUGUGUGUGUGCGUGUCUGUGUGUGUAAUAUUUAUAUGAAAUGCUACAUGUAUAACACUUCACUAAAUUUGUAAAAUGGAAACAGUACUGUCAGAAAUAUUUGUAUCCUAGAUAGGAUUUAGAAGGAAUUUCUGAUCAUAUAUACAUGAUUAGUCCUAUUACUUUUAUCUAUAAAGCAGCCAAAUAUAUAAUUCAUCUGUAAGAUUAUAUAUCUUUAACAUCAAGAAAAAUGUAUUCUAGAAUUAAUUUUAAAAACAUUGCUUUUUUGUGCUUAUGUUUUCUAAUUGAGAGAUCUGGCUUUUAAUCAUUUUCAAAUCAUAGAACUAAUCAGAUAGAAAGCAUGAGGAAACCAAUAAUCCAACUCAUAGCAUUUGUUAAUAUAAACCUUUGUAUAAAAGUGUUAUGAGGAGCUCCCGCUGUGGCACAGUGGGUUAAGAAUCUGACUUCAGUGGCUCAGAGGUGCGGGUUUGAUCUCCAGCCUGGUGUAGUGGGUAAAAGGGUCUGGCAUUGCUGCAGCUGUGGUGUGGGUCACAGUGGCAGCUUGGACUCAAUCCCUGCCUUGGAAUUUCCAUAUGCCAUGGGUGUGGCCAUUAAAAAAACCAAAGCCUGUUAUGAAACUAAGAAUAAAAAAAAUAGAAUGAUUAAUCAGCAAGUGGAUAUUUUUUAAAAUCUAGUUAAUAGUAUAUUAGCUUGGUUUGGAUAGUGAGGAAGACUAGAAUAAAUGCCAGAACAAGUUUGGUUCUCUUAGUUGAAAGAAUUAUAACAUAUUGGGUCUAUUUUCUAAUUCGGGACUAUGUAACUGCCACUUUCAUGUUUCCUAAGUUUUACUGUGUGAGUAUAUUUUGUUAGGAGUUAAGUGUAGGGAAAAAACUCAAAAAACUAGAAAAUUCCAUAGUGCAGUUUCCUUCCUCUCUUUCCCCACUCAUUCUCUAACAGAAAAAAAAAAAAGAAAGAAAAAAAAUAG
rnacentral:lncRNA from 1 species